CGGGGCGUAGCUCAGGUGGUAGAGCGCUGGCUUCGGGAGCCAGAGGUCGGCGGUUCAAGUCCGCUCGCCCCGACCA
rnacentral:tRNA from 1 species